rnacentral:rRNA from 1 species
AUGCGAGACGCGAGUCAUCUGGACUCGUCGAACUGCUCAGUAACACGUAGUUAACUUACCCUCAAGUGGAGGAUAAUCCUGGGAAACUGGGGCUAAUACUCCAUAGUUGUAUUGUGCUGGAAUGCUAUUACAACCAAAGCUCCGGCGCUUGAGGAUAGGACUGCGGCCUAUCAUGGCUGUUGUGAGUGUAAUGUACUCACAAACCUGUAACGGGUAGGGGUCAUGAAAGUGAGAGCCCCGAGAUGCUUUCUGAGACAUGAAAGCAGGUCCUACGGGACGCAGCAAGCGCGCAACCUUUCCAAUGGCUUAACGGUCGAGAAGGGAAUCCUGAGUGAUUAUACUAUGUAUAGUCUUUUGUUUUGUGUAAAAAGCAAGACGAAUAAGAGGUGGGUAAGACGGGUGGCAGCCGCCGCGGUAAUACCCGCGCCUCGAGUGGUGACCACUAUUAUUGGGUUUAAAGCGUCCGUAGCCGGUUUAGCAAGUUCUUGGUGAAAUCCAAUAGCUAACUAUUGGGCUUGCUGAGAAUACUACUAGACUUGAGAUUGGGAGAGGAUAGGGGUAUUCCAUGUGUAGGGGUUAAAUCCUUUAAUCCAUGGAGGACCACCGGUGGCGAAGGCGCCUAUCUGGAACAAGUCUGACGGUGAGGGACGAAAGCGUGGGGAGCAAAUGGGAUUAGAUACCCCAGUAGUCCACGCCGUAAACGAUGCCCGCUUGAUGUUGCAAACUUUACGAGAGUUUGCAGUGUCGGAGUGUAAAUGUUAAGCGGGCCACCUGGGGAGUACGGCCGCAAGGCUAAAACUUAAAGGAAUUGGCGGGAGAGCACCACAAGGGGUGAAGCCUGCGGUUUAAUUGGAGUCAACGCCGGAA